rnacentral:rRNA from 1 species
UACAGAGGUGGCAAGCGUUGUUCGGAAUUACUGGGCGUAAAGGGCGCGUAGGCGGUCUUGCAAGUCCUGUGUGAAAUCCCUCGGCUCAACUGAGGAACUGCACAGGAAACUGCUUGGCUUGAGUUCGGGAGAGGGAAGCGGAAUUCCGGGUGUAGCGGUGAAAUGCGUAGAUAUCGGAGGAACACCGGUGGCGAAGGCGGCUUCCUGGACCGACACUGACGCUGAGGCGCGAAAGCUAGGGGAGCAAACGGG